CCUGGGCUCCGAGCUCCUGGCAGGAUGUGUUUCACAACCCCUGCCUGGUUUGUGUCUCUGUUGCUGUAGAUACCAGCAGCUUCUGCCUCGGUGUGUUUGCUUGUUUUUCUCAUCUUUGUACGGCCUUGCAGGCACAAAAACUGUAGAAGCACACAAGUUCAGGGUUUCCAAAGGAAGCUGUGGUCUGAGACGUGCAAAGAAAUGUCAGUGGUGGAGAGUUACACUUGUGGUUAGUGACUGUUUAUUUGUUUUGCUAAGUAGAAGCAGGUGUCACAGAGGGUAUUUGGGGAAAGAGGAGAAGGGCUGUGCUGCUCAGAGGCUUGAAAACCUUCUCACCAGUGUUAGCUGUUGUUUUCAGACACAAGCAGCAGAAUGCAGGCGACAGAGAGAAGGAUUUUUCCUUCAGUCUUUCAACACAAAGAUUAAAAACCUUUCAGCGUUCUCCUUUCAUUUUCACUUUGUGUGUCACAACUUGAGAACCUUAUUAUCAAGCACUGCCCAGAGGUGAGAGUGAAGCAGUGGCAGAAACCCCAAAUGUGCUCACCAAAACCCCUAAAGUGCUCAAGGAGAAUCAUGAGAGGUUAUUAAAGUGCCUCGGGGUGCUUGAAGCACAAUUGCUGCAGGAAGAUUUGUGCAUUCCAAGGGUUACUCUCUGCCAUUGACUAUGGACUAUUUUAAAAUUUGCUGUCUGACAGGGAACUACCAGUGCACUAAAAAUUCUUCUCUGGAAAGCUAAUGUUUGUAUCCCUUGGCUGCCACUGGUUGCUAGCAUGAUGCUCAGUGUUUGGUGUGUGCUGAAGCUGCCUGGAUCCAGGAAUCUUUGUCUUCAUCACUCUUGAACGCUCCCAAAUCCAGGCUGGGGAGUGCUCUGGGAUCUGCCCAGGGAGAGCAGACAAGUCUGGCUGCAUCUAAGAUAUUUCAUGAUGUUCUGGAGAAAAUGCCUUGAAUUUAAUCCAGCUGGGAAAGGCUCUGACCUCUGUCACUGGACGCAGCAAAAGGGAGAAGAAACAGAGAAAUUCCUUUUACAGGGAUUCAUCCCACCCUGCAUUCCCAGGGAUUCACCCCAUCCUGCACCCUGAAGGAUUCAUCCCAUCCUGCAUCCACAGGGCUGCAUCCCUUCCUGCAUUCCCAGAGCUUCAUCCUAUCCUGCAUCCCCAGGAAUUCAUCCCUUCCUGUAUCCACAGGGAUUCAUCCCUUCCUGUAUCCACAGGGAUUCACCCCAUCCUGCACCCCCAGGGCUUCAUCCCACCCUGCCCUGGCCAGGACCCAGAGCCAUGGGAAGGUCACAGCCAGCAGGGGAAGGCUCCAGGGACCUGUGAGGGUUUGGGCAGCCAGAGGGAUGGGUGAGAAAGGGCUCCAGUGGCAGGAGUGUCCCAGGGGCAGAACUGGAGACCUUUCUGUGAAUGCUCAUCCAUCACUGCUUUGUUUGGUCAUUAAUUUCCAGUUAAUUGCAUUAAUUUCCAGUUCAUUCCAAUAAUUUCCAGUUAAUUCCAUUAAUUUCCAGUUCAUGCCAUUAAUUUCCAGUUAAUUGCAUUAAUUUCCAGUUAAUUCCAUUAAUUUACAGUUUAUUCCAUUAAUUUCCAGUCCAUUUCAUUAAUUUCCAGUCCAUUCCAUUGACUUCCAGAUUAUGCCAUUAAUUUCCAGUUCAUUUCAUUAA